AGACACGCCCAUAAACUGAUGAUCAGCGAAUCAGCGGAUUGGAAUUAACACCUGCUCAUACACGACCUCCGUUCACGCGGCCAGGUUGGCCUAGUUGUGAAUCUGAUGCAGAAGUGUGAACGACGAUCAUCAUACGUUUCAUAAGAGGCAUAUUCCUAAUUUGAUACAAGUGCAAGCUCUGACAAGCCGUCAUCCAACAGAGAACAUGUACCAACAGGAUUCCGUUUUCAGUGAUGAAUUUGAGGUAGGGAAAUUGGGCGAGGUAACGGAUUAUAGCCCCGUUUCUAUGUCUGAGAGUUCACCUUUGGGGUGUGGUGACAUGAUGGAAGGUUAUAUUUAUAACGCAUUGGCAUUGCCUGGGUUUGAAGAAUUAGUCGAUAAUAUGCAUUUCGAAUUAGUCGCCGACAAAAUGACACUGCUCCCCUCGUCCGGAGUCCUUCAUCCCAACCCAACUGACAGUGAAUAUGCCGGCCCAGCAUGUAACGUCACGCUGGCAAACGUCGGUAGCUGCAGCAGCAGCAGUGUGGCGCAGCAGAUGCCUGCAGAAUCAACGAUGCUGGCAUCGCCACGUACCACCUCCCCACUCCCAGAAGUCUGCAUAACAGCGGCCAAGCAAACAGGAAAGCGUGCAGGACGGAAAACCCCAAAGCUACCAUGUUCCAGUGACGUCUAUGGUGCGCGUACGAGGGACAGCUUUUCGCCAACUUUAAGCCCCGCACAUUCGACGAGCAGCGAAGACGACAAGGCGGAGGCCAUCGUGGAGAAGAAUCAAAGAAAUGCGCAACAGGCCCGAAUAAACCGGGAAAAAAAGAAGGCCCACAUCAACAAGCUGGAGAGUGACAAGGAGAAACUGGCGAAGGAAAACGCCGAGUUGAGAACCGAGCUAGAGAUUGAAAGAAACGAGAGCAGUACGCUAAGAGAAGAGCUCGCCUAUCUGCGGAAUGUCAUCGCCAACGAAAGCACGCUCUCCACCCUUCUGAAGAACAUUGAUGCCAGCAGCGUUUCCUUGACAACCUCUUUCAACCGCAAGAGGGCUCACCAUGGCGACGCCAGGGAACCUACCAAGCAUACGAAGGGUGCGGCGCUAGGUGGCGGUGUGUGCCUGCAUGUGGAAAACAAGAACGUAUCACUCGAGUUUUGCCCGAGAUGUUCGCGGAUGGCUCACGUCGCCCGCAUUGCUGAGUUGUGACUGCCAGCGGCCCAAGGUACUUUGCCAGAAGCAUGAGUGAGCAGUUCCAUUGCUGAGAAUUGUGAUAGUGCCAGAAUGAUCUGAUUCUGCCUAGAAUAAGAAAGAAGAGUUCGGUAGCUGUGCCAUGAAGAGGUUAGCCAAGGAUAUGUCUGGUGAUGUUAGUUCUUUAUAUUUUAUCUUUAUAGAUAUUGUUGAACGUUUAUAUAAUAAUGCAUGUGUGUACUGGACUCUGUCAUUAUACGUAUUGUAUAUUUGUGUAAAACCCGAUUAAAUUUAAGGUUAGCAUGGAUCAGCUGAUGAUGGUGCUGUGGAAAUAGAUGAAACUACAAAAGACACUGAUAUUCUUCUUGAACUAAUUUUUAGUAUGUCAUAAACAUAAUGCACUAUUAAUAUUUAAAUGCAGACAAAUCAGAGGAGUACCACUUGUAUUGAAACUUGUGUAAAAUAAUGUAGGCACCAUCACCCACUCUUACAGUAAGGCCAAAACAAAAUAUAGGUGUGGUUAUGGUUUCCCGACCGACCCUAUUUAUUCCCAGCGACCCUAAACAUUUUAAUUGUCAAUUUUCUUUAAAGUAAAAAAAAAUAAAAAAUAUGAAUUGGACAGUUCCUGCUUCAAAAGACAUUCUUGCACAUUUCAAAAGCACAUUCUUCGGACAUGGUUCGUAAAUAAAACAUUUCAAGAAAAUAAAAUGUUUUCCCUACCUACCUACCCUAUUUUUUUUCGGCAUGUAACGGUAACCACACAUAUUUUGUUUUGGCCUAAUGCUAAUUUGUGAUAAAAAAGUUAAAGCAGUAGUUCUUGUAGUUUGUAUUGUUUUUGUGUAUUGGUGUUAUGGUGAUAUCAAUGCAAUGUAGGUAUAGUGCAGCAUGGAAUUAUUGGUAUCAUUCUGCCCAGUAAAUGUUUAGUAAUUUCAAAUACUAGAGCAAUAUAAUCUGCAGUUUUGUCCAUGCUCGUACAGUGAUCUGUCAUGAGUUGUAACGAUUGAACUAGAAACGGUGGCGUGCGUGCGUAUGUUGGGGAGGGGGGAUAAUACCUCUGUAUGCCAUUUUUUGUGCAGGUUACUGGCAGAAGCAGUGCGGUGGACGCUCUAUUCUCCGAACGCCUUCGAACUAAGUAAGGUGGGCGAGAAUGUUACCCUCACAUGUCCUGGCUGCUCACUCAUGUUUGUAGACAAUGACGACCAGCUAGUUCCUAUUUAAGGUCUUUCUUGCCUUUGAGGCGAUUUUGUUUCAGAUAUGAACACACUGGAAACCCAGCAACUUUGAGUGAUAGCAGCAGCACCAGCAGCAGCAUCUCUCGGGGAUGAGCGGUCUUUCCUUCAGGACCGGUGGUGUGUGGGGGUAGUGAUGUGCUGCGUGAUAUGGGGGCUGAUGCUGAAGCUGAUGUACCUCGUCGUGAAAGAAAAGUCGGUUCAUCGGUGUGCGUAUGCGUGAGUGUGUGACAGCAGCCUGUUGUUGUGAAAUGUGCAGCGGCAAUGUCAACUGAUCGAUGGUUUUGUUAGCAUGCAGAAGAAUUCAUGCGUCAGGAUAGUCGGCCGCUGAAUUUAGCUGGUGACGUACGUGCACUGCAGAUUUCAGUCUUCGUCACAUGACAGCCAAUCUCAUCUUGGCGUUCUUACCUCAAUCUUGGUUGCAUGUCAAUCACAGCAGUGGUUAUCAGAUAGAACCAGCAGCGUGUUGAGACAGCGUCAGUUCUCCCCAUUCAGCUUUGUAUGUAACUAGUUCAGAAGUGUUUGCAGUUGGCUCUGGGAUUAGGUUGUGACGUCACUGACACUGCUGCAAGCAUCAAGUCACGAAGAAUAGAUCGAAGUGCGUAUGUUUACUUGUGAUAAGAUUAGGUUUCAAAGUGCAGUUAGGUGGACACACCACAUCGAUUCGCACAUAUAUUCGCUGGAAAAGGACGUUUAUUUGACAAGCAUUGUUAGUUUUUUAUGAAUAGAUCGCAGUGCGUGUAUUUACUUGUGAUAAUAUUGGUUUUCAAAGUUCACAGUUUGGUGAGCACAUCACAUCGACUUGCACAUGUAUUCACUGAAAAGAUAAAUUUAUUUGACUAGCAUUGUUUAGUUUUUAUUUAAGUGUAAACUUGAUGCAACUGACGUUAUGCUCACAGGAACAAAGGUUGGCUGGUGUACAGAGAAUUCAUCAGUUGUAUUGAUACGUAAAGCCAACUCUAAGCCUAUCGAUUGUUAUUUGAUACAAUAACAUGUCAACGUUAGUUUGGUUGUUUUCUACCAAUUUAUAAAGCAAGCUUUUGUGAAAACGGGUGUAUGGUAAUAAGGAAAAUGUCACAUGUUAAUAUUGUAUAUUUCUAAGUUAUAUUUAUUGCCUAUACUGUACUGUAAAAUAAUGUUCAUUCGAGAAUGUAUGGCUCAGUUUCAGACGGUACAACCAGUAAGCAACCAUCAUUUCUAUUCAGUCGCAUAGAACUAAGAUGAUAUGCGUGUCAUUGAUGCUAAUAAAUAAAAAAAGGUUAAUUUUUACCCGAACUAGGUUUACCAAAGAAGUAGGAAGGGUUAAAUAGGAGUGUUAUAUUGUAGGUGCGUCUUGUGAUCAAGAACUCGUGCAGUGCCGGACAAGAGGCUGAAAUUCGUUCGUGACUUUGAUGUGUAUGUGGUGGUGAUUGUGCAAGCUUUCGUUCAGAAUAAACAAUGAGUUGUUGAAAUGAAUCUGAUAAACACAAGAACUCAAUGCCGAAUCUAUUUUGCAGUGUGUCGUCUGUCAGUGGAGGCAGGUGAGAGGCGUUGUGGCUCACCAAUACCCGAUCGUCGCUUCUGUUAUUGCACUUGCUCGUGUGACAAAUAAAGAACUAAUAAGUUACUAAUA